UCCCUUGUAGCUCAGUCGGUAAAGAAUCUGCCUGCAAUAUAGAAGACCCGGGUUUGAUUCCUGGAUUGGGAA
rnacentral:tRNA from 1 species